rnacentral:pre_miRNA from 1 species
UUGUAGUGUGACAUGCCCGUUUGGAUUUUACUCAGAUGUUGAACAAUUAUUAUUUAAUUGAUUUUGGGAAACGGGGUGUUACACUGAU